rnacentral:lncRNA from 1 species
UUCCUAUACUGUUAGCCAUGUAGAGAUUAAAAGCCCUAGCUCGAUAGACCUGGUCUUGCCUUUGCUAACUCUCAACCUCAGUUUUUCUCAGUAAAAUGGGGAUAAUAGUAUAUUAUCUUAGGUUCUAAGUCACUUCACCAAAGGUCAAUUCAUUAAAAAGCAAUUUUAGGAGUUCCCGUCGUGGCGCAGUGGUUAACGAAUCUGACUAGGAACCAUGAGGUUGCGGGUUCGGUCCCUGCCCUUGCUCAGUGGGUUAAUGAUCCGGCGUUGCCGUGAGCUGUGGUGUAGGCCAGGAAUCAAAGCAAACUCAUGUUUGCCGGCUGAAUUCGUUUCUCCUGUGCCACAACGGCAACUCCUGUUUUUUCUGUUCUUUUAAACACAUGGCUGCACCUGCAGCAUGGAAGUUCCCCGGCCAGGGAUCAAACCAGAGCCACAGCAGAGACAAUGCUGAGUAGUUAUGAUGUGAGUCACAAGGGAAGUCCAGAAGAGUUUUGUUUUUGUUUUUUCCAUUGCAGCAUUUUUUAAAAAUUGAAGUAUGUUUGAUUUAUAAUGUUAUACCAAUUUCUGCUGUACAGCAAAGUGAUUCAAUUAUAUACAUAUGUAUAUUCUCUUAUGUCCUUUUCCUUUAUGGUUUAUGUCAGGAUAUUGAAUAUAGUUCCCUGUGCUAUGUAGUAGGACCCUGCUGUUUACUCAUCCUACAUGUAAUAGUUUGCCUCUGAUAACCCCAAGCUCCCAGUACAUCCCUACACCACCCUCCUUCCCCUUGGCAACCCCAAGUCUGUUCUCUAAUGUCUGUGAGUCUGUUUCUGUUUCAUGGAUAGGUUUGUUUGUGUCAUAUUUUAGACUCCAUAUAUAAAUGAUAUCAUAUGGUGUUUGUCUUUUGGACUUACUUCACUUAGUAUGAUAACCUCUGGUUCCAUCCAUGUUGCUCCAAAUGGUAUCAUGUUAUUCUUUUCAUGGCUGAGUAGUUUUCCAUUGUAUAUAUACACCACAUCUUCUGUAUCCAUUUAUCUAUUAAAUGGACAUUUAGGUUAUUUCCUUAUCUUGGUAUUACAGCAUUUUUUUUUUCUUUUGCCUUUUAGGGCUGUACCCACGGCACAUGGAGGUUCCCAAGCUAGGGGUCGAAUCGGAGCUGAAGCCACCGACUUAUGCCACAGCAACAGCAACGCAGGAUCCAAGCUGUAUCUGUGACCUACAGCACAACUCACAGCAACACCGGAUCCUUAACCCACUGAGCAAGGCCAGGGAUCAAACCCAUGUCCUCAUGGAUUCUAGUCAGAUUCGCUAACCACUGAGCCACAACAGGAACUCCAUUGCAGCAUUUUUUAAAAUUGAAGUAUAAUAUACAUUACAAGUGAACAGUAUAGUGAUUCACAUAUUUAAAGGCCAUACUCCAUUUAUAAUUAUUAUAAAUUAUUGUUUAUAUUCCCUGUGUUGUAUGAUAUAUUCUUAUUGCUUAUUUUAUACAUAAUAGUUUGUACCUUUUAACGUCCUUAUGCUUAUAUUACCCCUCUCUUGUCCUUGUCCCCGCUGGUAACCACUAAUUUGUUCUCCAUAUGUGUGAGUCUGCUUCUAUUUUUUUACUCUAUUUACCAGUUUGUUGGAUUUUUUUAGAUUCUACAUAUAAGUGCUUUCUCUGACUUAUUUCAUUUAGUGUAAUGCUAAAGUUCAUCCAUAUUGCUAUAGAUGGGAAAAUUUCAUUUUUUAUGGCUGAGUAAUAUUCUAUAUAUGUGUGUAUAUAAAUAUAUAUACAAUGGUAUAUAUAUAUUGUAAUUGUAUAUGCAUAUAUUUCACACCCUCUUUGUCCAUUCAUCUGUUGAUGGACAUUUAGGUUACUUCCAUAUCUCGGCUAUUGUAAAUAGUGCUACUGUGAACAUUGGGGUGAAUGUAUCUUUUCAAAUUACUGUUUUUGUUUUUUACAGAUGGUUUUGUUUUGUUUCUCUUGUCCUGAAGAAGAGUUUUAAGUAGUAAGCAGAAACAUAUAAGGCUUCUUGAGGCCGAGACUCCAAACUGACACACUGGCACUUCUGUCUCAUUCUGUUGGCCAGAGCAGGUUAUGUGACCAAGUAAAACUCAAGGGGUAGGGAAACAGAAUUCACCUCUUUAGAGAAAUGACAAAGUGACAUGAAGGGGUGAAGAAGUGGAACCAUUAAUACCAUGGUAGGGAUGACUGGAGCAUGCUUGAAAAGUAUAAAGAAUUUGUAGGAUGAAGAAGAAAAUGAAGAAGAAAGAUCACUACCAUAGGUCAGAGAAUUAACUUUUGAAAAAAGGAACAGUACUUCUGGGAAUGGAAAGAAGGGGCAUUUGACUGAAUUAUAUUUAGCAAAUUAAAAUACAGGAUGUCCAGUAAUUUUUUAAACUUCAGAUAAACAAUGAAUAAGUUUUUAGUAUUAAGUACCUGCAUACAAUCUUUGGUAGGCUCUCAGUACAUAGUUGGCUAUUUUUAUUAGUUUAAAUACUAUUUAAAUAUUUCUAUCAUACAAUAUUUUGGACAUACUUAUCCCAAAAUAUGAUUCCUUUUUAUUUGAAAUUCAGAUGUUACCAGGCAUCCUGUGUCUUAAUCUGACAGCCCUAUUUUGGUUGACUUUUAAAUAAAGCCAUGGUAAGAUAACCUACAAAGGACUAGCAAGGUGCUUUGGGGGAUUUAAUCCUGGAAGAAGUUUGGAACAGCUGCAGUGGAUGCUGUGCACUGCCCAAGAGAGGACUGCCAAGCAGCAGGGAAGGCCCACUGACCAAGAGGCAGCACAACUCUUCAUUGCAUCAGCAGUGGUACUUCACUGCUGGGUGCAGAGGUGGGACGAAGGUGGCAGGUACAGGUGACCACCUUGGUUUGACUGUGUAGGAGAGGCCUGGGAAGGAGUUUGGGCAUAGUUGAAAUGACUAGGGGGUCCAGGUUGUACAGGAAAACAGGUGAAACCAGAAGGAAUUGGGAGGCAAAGGUAAAAGUGAGUCAAAGAGGUGGAAGUUCCCAGAGAAGUAGAAUUUACAGUCUUGGAAGAAUAGUUCUGUGAUAAUGGGGUUAAAAAUCCAAUUUCACGAGAGAACUAGAGCUAAAUUAAAAGCAAGAGCUCUGGAGACAAAGUACCUAGUUUUGCAUUCUAGUUGUAUGAUUUUGGUCAAAUAAUUAAACUUCCCUAUGACUUAGUUUUUUUUUUUUCUUUUGUAAAUCAUGAAUAAUAAUGGAUCUCAUAACCUCAUAGGGUUAUUGUGAGAAUUAAGUGAAAUAAACUACAUGAAGGUACCUAGAACAGUAUGUCUGGUGUUUGCUAUGUUUUAUUAUUUAUAUACCACUUGCAUGUAUCUAUAAUCAAUAAAUGUGAGUGCAUUAAAGAAUAUUGUUUGAAAGAAAAAAGGCACAUGUACAGUGUAUGUUCUGCCUUAGCUAACAAAUGCUAGGUUUGGUAAAUACCAUUAGCUACUUGUUUAAGUUGGAGCUCAAAGAGCCUUUACCACUUAAGGUUGUUUUCUUUACUGUUAUUAUAAGAAAAUAAUUGUCAUGCUCAAGUCAUAUCUGUCUCCUCACUUCCCCCUAGGUGACCAUGCUUUGGGAUUUUCAUAGUUUGAGUAAUUCCUCCGGGCUCUGCCACCCAGCAAGUUAAAGAGGACAAGAUUCCUCACUGGGGGUUGUGGUUCUGGGAAUGUGAGCAGCUUGUUUUCAUGAAUUCUGCACCCUGACCUGGCCUACUGUUAGGAGCUGUUGUGUUGGUAGUGGCGGUGUUUUUAGUUAUUUCCUCCACCUUCCACAGUUACUUGUAUAUAAAGAUUUUUGAAAAGUGAAUGUUUUAUGGGGAUGUUUUGCUUAUGCAACGAAAAAUUAAAACUGUUUCAAAG